rnacentral:lncRNA from 1 species
AGUGAAUUGUGGGUGCCCGAUGGGGUGUAUACUGACCUGUUGUAUCGACUCCAGCUGUGGCUGGUGCAAGGGGGAGGAGGAACCCUGUUAUGAAUCUGAUACUUAUGAGGCUGUGGCUGCUGCAACAUCAGAAUCCACUACUGUAGAGCCUGGCAAGCUGGAUGUGGGAGCCACGGAGGGCCACGACCUGCAGCACAUCAGCAACCAAAAGAUGCCCACAGGUCCCCCUGAGGACAGCCUGAGUUUAAAAUCUCUACCACCAAGUGAGGAAGACAAUGAUGAUGCCCAGAUUUUACCAUCACCUGUGCAGGCUCGUCCUGAGGACGACCUGUUUUUAAGAUGCUCACCGCAACAUAAAGAUGAAGAUGAUAAUGAUGAUGGUGAUGUCCAGGUAAGAUCCCCCUUUUUUGUCUUCUACAGCAGUGUUGCUUUCCUGAUUCUUUACUUCUCAAUUAAUUUUGAUUUGAAAACCUGGCAAUGUACAUUAUGUACACUGUACACUAUUGUCUUUGUGGGGCUGGAAUUCAUAAGUGUGUCUUCCCAACUUCUACAUGGUCCGCUAUGCUGCUUCUAAAUGACAACAUCCAGUAUCAACUGGAAUACUGAGGCAUUUUCCACAAUACCAGUUUUCCUCCUUGGAUUAAGCAUUGUACAUUUGCAUAUAAAAUUAAAUUUAAAGGCAAAUUCUGUGAAUAGAAGUCUUGUUUUUCUAUAGCUAUCUUCUGUGCUAGUCUUUGGGGAUUUUGACCUAUGGCUCAAUCACUGUACUGCCUUCUGGUUUUUUUAUCGUUGUCCAGAGAAUA